AUUUUGGAGCAGUGUGAAUCCAGUGCUUUGUAUCUUCUCACCCCAGACACAAUCUGGACUAGCGCAGCAAGAAACAAAUUUCUGGGAGCUUAAGCUUGUUCCGCUUUAUUUGUGGUUUUUUCUGUGGGUUUGUUUUUGUUUUUUUUUUUGAGAGCAGCUGUCUUUGAGAUUUGUGAUCUUUUCUAAAAGCAUGACCAUAGUGAUCAUAAGGGCUUGGUGAAUUUAUUAACUCUACUUGAUUAAAUCCUCCUUUGACUCCAUUUUGAAAGAAUUAGUUCUGGAACACAGAUUUAGAUCUCCUCUACCAUGUACUUGCCAGAUGUAGGAUGAACUUUAUAAGCACUUUUAUUGCUUUGGACCCAAACAAGAAAUAUCACAAUAUGUAGUGUAAACCACUAAACCCAGAAGUUAAAAAUCAUUAAGAUUUCUUAUUCCAGGCCCUGAACUCUGGAAAUGGAUUAGCCAAUGGUGCCCACCUUCUCUUGCAGUCAAGGAAUAAAUGUGUGAUCCCAGCUUGACAGAAAGUAAUGUCCUGUGAGCAGAGGAUACUUUUGGGAAUACUUCAGCCCUGGCAGUCAAAGGUUUCACCAACACUGCUUCACUGAGGACAGAAAAUUCAACAGUAGCUGAAUUGUGGAGUUCCCAGAAGACCAUUUUAUUCUGAAUCUAAGG